rnacentral:rRNA from 1 species
AGAGCGAACGCUGGCGGCAGGCCUAACACAUGCAAGUCGAACGGAUCCUUCGGGAUUAGUGGCAGACGGGUGAGUAACACGUGGGAACGUGCCUUUUGGUUCGGAACAACUCAGGGAAACUUGAGCUAAUACCGGAUGUGCCCUUCGGGGGAAAGAUUUAUCGCCAUUAGAGCGGCCCGCGUCUGAUUAGCUAGUUGGUGAGGUAAAGGCUCACCAAGGCUUCGAUCAGUAGCUGGUCUGAGAGGAUGAUCAGCCACACUGGGACUGAGACACGGCCCAGACUCCUACGGGAGGCAGCAGUGGGGAAUAUGGACAAUGGGCGCAAGCCUGAUCCAGCCAUGCCGCGUGAGUGAUGAAGGCCUUAGGGUUGUAAAGCUCUUUCAGUGGGGACGAUAAUGACGGUACCCACAGAAGAAGCCCGGCUAACUUCGUGCCAGCAGCCGC